rnacentral:tRNA from 1 species
GCGAUCGUAGUUUAAUGGUAGAACGGAAGCUUGCCAUGCUUCGGGCGUGGGUUCGAUUCCCAUCGAUCGCUCCA